UGAGCUUGAUCCUGGCUCAGGAUGAACGCUAGCGGCAGGCUUAACACAUGCAAGUCGAGGGGUAUGGUUCUUCGGAACCAGAGACCGGCGCACGGGUGCGUAACGCGUAUGCAAUCUACCUUUUACAGAGGGAUAGCCCAGAGAAAUUUGGAUUAAUACCUCAUAGUAUAGCAGCUUCGCAUGAAGCCACUAUUAAAGUCACAACGGUAAAAGAUGAGCAUGCGUCCCAUUAGCUAGUUGGUAAGGUAACGGCUUACCAAGGCUACGAUGGGUAGGGGUCCUGAGAGGGAGAUCCCCCACACUGGUACUGAGACACGGACCAGACUCCUACGGGAGGCAGCAGUGAGGAAUAUUGGACAAUGGGCGCAAGCCUGAUCCAGCCAUGCCGCGUGCAGGAUGACGGUCCUAUGGAUUGUAAACUGCUUUUAUACGAGAAGAAACACUCCUUCGUGAAGGAGCUGACGG
rnacentral:rRNA from 1 species